rnacentral:rRNA from 1 species
GCCUGAUGCAGCCAUGCCGCGUGUGUGAAGAAGGCCUUCGGGUUGUAAAGCACUUUCAGUUGUGAGGAAGGUGGUGUCGUUAAUAGCGGCAUCAUUUGACGUUAGCAACAGAAGAAGCACCGGCUAACUCCGUGCCAGCAGCCGCGGUAAUACGGAGGGUGCGAGCGUUAAUCGGAAUUACUGGGCGUAAAGCGCAUGCAGGUGGUUUGUUAAGUCAGAUGUGAAAGCCCGGGGCUCAACCUCGGAACUGCAUUUGAAACUGGCAGACUAGAGUACUGUAGAGGGGGUAGAAUUUCAGGUGUAGCGGUGAAAUGCGUAGAGAUCUGAAGGAAUACCGGUGGCGAAGGCGGCCCCCUGGACAGAUACUGACACUCAGAUGCGAAAGCGUGGGGAGCAAACAGGAUUAGAUACCCUGGGAG